GGAACCUGUCCUGUAAUCGAUAAUCCACGUUAAUUUAACCUAAAUUUGUAGAUCAACUUGUAUAUCGUUGUCGGAAGAUUAUUUUAUAAGAAAUUUUUCAAUAUUAAUUGUUUAUUGAUGUCAAAUCAAGGUGCAGUUUAUGUUUAGGGUUGAGAUGGGUUACAAUAUAUGCAUAUAAACGGAUAUGAGUUUGUAAUACUUAUGUAAGGUGGAUUUAAUUGUAA
rnacentral:rRNA from 1 species